UGAUUUUUGAUGUCUACAUCUCUUGCUUACAUUUUACUUUGGAGGUUGCAAGAUCAACAUAACCUGAGUUUGGAAAAUAUUUAACAAAAUUCAAAAGAGGAAAAAAAAUCACUUCUAUUAAAAUGUACCUGAAUAAGAGGUAUAGAAAGCACAGAUGUGGUAAUGUUGAAGGAAAGAAGGCACACAUGGGAGCUUAUGCUGUAUAAUUCCAUUUAUACAAUGUAUCAACACAGGUGCAAAAAGUACAAUUAGCUGCUACAUCUCUGAGAAGAAAGAAUUUUGCUGAUGAUCUAACAGAACUUGUGAGUCAUCCAUCAGGAGAUGUUUUAAUGGUGCCAAGAACUCAGUAAAGUCUGUGAUGGAUUUGGCAAGGUCAUUUGUCAUUUUCACAUCAGCAUGGUUUUGGCACCUGCUUCUCAGUAAAGAAUUGCACUGUUGGAAACUCACUUUUGACAAAGAUGGUCUGCUUCUGACCAAAUGGUUUAUGCUACAGCAGAGAAGGAGAAGGAUGCUGAACCUUCAGAUAUCAGGCCAGCAUUCCCAAAAGAAAGAAGGAAGAAUGGUGAAAGGCAAAGGAUCAAAGAAAUAGCUGCAGUAUGGACAAAAUGCUGGAGUUGAGCAUCACUGGAAGGAAGACUCAGUUAAAAGAAAAAAAGAAAUCAUUGUUACAUUUAAGAAGAUGGACAUGGCAUGAUUUGAUACAGAUUGGCAUGAUGUAAGUUUAUGCAUGUGGCAGGACGGCUGUCUCAAUUUGUACUUGUAUUUGUGCAGACAUACUUGUAGGACAAGAGAAAAGAGAGCCAAUAGAUCAUUUAGCACUUGCUGGAAGAGAGUAAUUUACUAAUCCAUCAUUUCAUGGGGCUCAUGGAGUAUCAGAACAAAAGCCAAAUUUUGGCUGAAUGUACCUAGCUGUAUACUGCAAAGAAAUAUCAUUUUUUUUAUUACUUUGACAGAAGCCAGUCCAAAUAGCACACAGAAAAGAGCAAAUUGCUGUCUACAUUUGACUGUGUCCUGGAAGAGUAACUGAGUGCAAUAUCUUCUGAGAAAUAUAA
rnacentral:lncRNA from 1 species